UACGGGGGGUGCGAGCGUUGUCCGGAAUCACUGGGCUUAAAGGGCGCGUAGGCGGGUUCGCAAGUCCGUGGUGAAAUCCUCCGGCUCAACCGGAGAACGGCCUCGGAUACUGCGGGUCUCGAGUGUGGUAGGGGUAUGCGGAACUAUCGGUGGAGCGGUGAAAUGCGUUGAUAUCGAUAGGAACUCCGGUGGCGAAGGCGGCAUACUGGACCACAACUGACGCUGAGGCGCGAAAGCCAGGGGAGCAAACGGG
rnacentral:rRNA from 1 species